GGAAAUUCGAGACUCAAUUUGGAAACUUGAGUGUGUUUAAAAUGCUCUUUUGUUAGAAAACGAAACUUUUCUUGCCAUUAGGCUACCCCCCCCCCCACCUCUCUCCCUCCACUACGACAGCCCAUCCCAUCUCAUCUCACAGAAAGCAUUUCCUGUGUGUCUCGGGUGGUAUUUAUCUGGAGAAGGCGAGCUUCUUCGGGCGGGGGCAUGGGGAGCGGCGAGACAGACGCCCUGAGCAUGUCGCACCUUGCAGACUCCCAACAGGUGCUUCUUGGAUGUGACUGCAGUUGAUUGGCUGCCAGCUGGCAGCAGUGAAGUCUUUUUAUGGUUGCAACGUGAGUCAGCGAGGAGCGAGGCGAGCAUGAGGGGCGGACAGCGAUACAAGGACCAGAACCUGAUUGGAUUUCAAAGGGUUUGGCAGGGGCUGCUGCAGGAGGAAACCUGCCAAGAGAUGGUUCCUGUGUACUUCGACAACGGAAUGAUGCACAAAACCGAUUGGAAGAAUCAUCAUGCAGCAAGACAAUGACCCCAAAACACACUGCCAGCGUUCCUCAGGGAGAUUAAAUGGAAGAUAUUGAGACUGGACCAAGUUUAUCUCCAGACUUGAAACCAAAAGAACAAAUAUUUGACCUGCAAAGAGACUGAAGGGAAUAAACCCCCCAAGCAAACAACAUCUGAAAGAGGCUGUGGUGUAAACCUGGAAAAGUAUCACAAAAGAAUGCCUAAGUGUUGUCAUGUCAGUGUGUCACAGACUUGAUGUAAAUAUUCAAAGCAAAUAAUUUGCAAAUAAAUAUUUUCCAAUAUCACUUCUCACCUAAUUUUUUUUUGUUAUAAUCCUAUCAUGUGCAUCAAAACCAGAAGUAAAUACAUGAAAAUAAAAGUUGAAAUAUU